AUGGUAUCGUCAGGGCCGCCGAACCCAAUGGGGCCUGGGCAGCCAGGAGGCGGUGCCUCACUUCUCCGGACAAGUUCUAGCCUGCUCAGUGGUGGCCAACAGGGAAUGGGUGGGGGUGGCGGCAUGCUGCAGUCGCAGUCCCCGUUCUCAUCUCUUGUCUCCCCAAGGUCUCAGUUUGGUGGAAAUGGCUUGCUGGGAGCAACCUCUAAUGUCUCCUCCCUGCUCAACCGGUCAUCGUUUGGAAACGGGAGCCCUGUUCCAAGUCCAGGACAAAUGCCAAACGGUGGGCUUCCGAUGAAUACCCUUCAGCAGAGAGGGGGGCUUGAUGGCGCUGGUGAUUUUACUGGCACUGGAGGAUCCGAUCCUAUGUCGUUUCCAUCCUCCUCCUCGCAGGUUAGUUUGGGCAAUCACCUAGGUUCAGAUAUCCUGCAGCAGCAGCAGCAGCAGAUGGAUGUGCGGGAUUUGCAGCACCAGCAAGAGCAACAACAUCAACAACAUCAACUGCCGAUGUCUUACAACCAGCAGCAGUUGCCGUCACAGCAGUCGCAGCCGCAGGCUGCAGUGAAGUUGGAGAAUGGUGGCAGCAUUGGUGGAGUCAAAUUAGAACAGCAGAUGGGACUGCCUGACCAGAAUGGCCCAGCCCAGAUGAUGCGCAAUGUUGGAAAUGUAAAAUUUGAGUCGCAGCAGUUGCAAGGGUUGAGGGGUUUGGGCGCAGUCAAGAUGGAGCAGUCGAGUUCGGACCCAUCAGCAUUCUUGCAGCAACAGCAGCAACAACAGCAGCACCAUCACCACUUGUUGCAACUCACGAAGCAGAACCCUCAAGCUGCUGCGGCUGCCCAACUGAACCUCUUGCAACAGCAGCGUCUUUUACAUAUGCAGCAGCAGCAUCAGCAGCAACACCAACAGAUUCUAAAGAAUCUGCCUUUACAGAGAAACCAAUUACAACAGCAACAGCAGCAGCAGCAACAACAGCAGCAGCAGCAGCAGCAGCAGUUACUUCGUCAACAGAGUCUAAACAUGAGAACCCCAGGAAAGCUGGCUCCUUAUGAGCCAGGUACCUGUGCAAAAAGAUUGACCCAUUACAUGUAUCAUCAACAGAACAGACCACAGGAUAACAAUAUAGAGUACUGGAGAAACUUUGUCAAUGAGUAUUUUGCUCCAACUGCUAAAAAGAGGUGGUGUGUAUCUCUCUAUGGAAGUGGUCGUCAAACUACUGGAGUUUUCCCUCAGGAUGUCUGGCACUGCGAAAUAUGCAAUCGAAAGCCUGGCCGGGGCUUUGAGACAACAGUAGAGGUCUUACCGCGGCUAUGCCAAAUCAAAUAUGCGAGUGGUACAUUGGAAGAACUAUUGUAUAUUGAUAUGCCACGCGAAUCCCAGAAUGCAUCUGGACAGAUUAUUUUGGAUUAUGCAAAAGCAAUCCAGGAAAGUGUCUUUGAUCAAUUGCGCGUGGUACGUGAAGGGCAUCUAAGGAUAGUUUUUAAUCCAGACCUCAAGAUUGCAUCUUGGGAGUUUUGUGCUAGGCGUCAUGAGGAACUGAUUCCGCGGAGAUCAAUAAUACCUCAGGUUAGUCAGCUUGGCACGGUUGUACAAAAAUACCAGGCUGCUGCUCAAAGUUCAACGAGUUUAACGACCCAGGACAUGCAGAAUAAUUGCAACUCGUUUGUUGCAUGUGCGCGCCAACUGGCUAAAGCCUUGGAGGUGCCUUUGGUAAACGAUUUAGGAUAUACAAAAAGAUAUGUCCGCUGCCUUCAGAUUGCGGAGGUGGUAAACUGCAUGAAAGAUCUGAUUGACUAUAGCAGGCAGACUGGAUCUGGACCAAUCAAUAGCCUUCAUAACUUUCCUCGGAGGAGUUCAUCAGGUAUUAACCCUCUUCAACCACAGCAGCAACAGCCUGAAGAGCAGCAAUCUGUUCCCCAGAGUUCAAACCAGAGUGGCCAAAAUUCUGCUCCUAUGGCUGGUGUGCAGGCUUCUGCCUCUGCCAAUGCAGACGUGACAUCAAAUAAUUCUUUGACGUGUGCACCCUCUACAUCUGCACCCUCGCCAUCUGUUGUUGGGCUCCUCCAAGGUUCAGUGAAUUCUAGACAAGAUCAUCCAAUGGGCACUGUAAAUGGUCUGUAUAACAGUGGAGAUGAUGGCGUAAUUCCCAAGGUGAACUCUACAAGUUCAUUGCAGUCAAAUCCGUCUCCCUCUUUCUCUUCCCAGGUGCCCACAUCAUCCAAUAAUAACAUGAUGCCCGCCCCUCAGAACACAAACCAACUCAGUUCCCCAGCAGUAUCAUCAUCAAACUUGCCUCCAAUGCAGCCACCUGCAACUCGGGCUCAGGAACCUGAGCCAAGUGAUUCCCAAAGCUCGGUUCAGAGAAUCUUGCAAGAGAUGAUGUCAUCACAAAUGAAUGGUGUUGGCCAUGGAGCAAAUGACAUGAAGAGACCAAACGGACUUGCCCCUGGUAUUAAUGGGGUUAACUGCUUAGUUGGUAAUGCGGUCACAAAUCACUCAGGAGUGGGAGGAAUGGGAUUUGGGGCCAUGGGUGGAUUUGGUUCAAAUAGUGCAGCUAGUGGACUGAGAAUGGCAAUGGCAAACAAUGCAAUGGCAAACAGUGGGAUGGCAAUGAAUGGCAGGAUGGGGAUGGGGAUGCAUCACAGUGCACAUGACCUAUCACAGUUGGGCCAGCAGCAGCAGCAGCAGAACCAGCACCAGCACCAGCAGCAUCAGCAACAGCAUGACAUAGGAAAUCAGCUGUUGGGUGGACUUAGAGCUGCAAAUAGCUUCAAUAAUCUUCAGUAUGACUGGAAACCCUCUCAAUAG
rnacentral:rRNA from 1 species